GAAAAUGUCACAGUCCAAGUGCAAUACAGCACUAAAACACCACAGCAACGGCCACUUAGCAGCAGGGAUGUUGUCUAAGUAGAUGGAUGGCUGAGUAAGUGUGCUGGUAAUUAGCCUCUGUGUGUUUUGCUGGAUUGCACAUGAAUCCUGCCAUGAGCGGAGGAGCUGAUUGCAUCUCUCCUCAUCCUCACCCCUACACUUCUUUUACUACAUUAGUUUGAACAGUGUUUGCAUAUACUGGCAGAGGAAGCUAAACAUGACCCACUUGAGGCCUUUAUAUGGAUGCAACGCAUAAACAAUUCAUUCUGUUUUUUCUCAGCGGAGACACAUGUGUUGGGGAUGCAAAGGUUUUGGGAAACUCAUUUCAUGCUCAUUGUUUACCUAAUCAGAAAUUCUAAUUGCUUAGUGGGACUAAUUAACUUAUGAAAAAGUAACAGGAGUAUUGUGUACCCCCCAUGUCAUGCUGUUUGUGUACGCCUAUGAAAUAUUCAUACCAUGACAAGGCAGUUUGGCAACUACCACUUGGCUGUAAUAUGAUUUUGUUUGGUCUCAAGUCUCUUGACACUGUCACCAUCAAUUAUGCUGAAGGAAAAUGUGAAGCAACGUCAAAGGCGCACGUCAACAACUGCAAAACAACACAGAGAGUUCAUGUGACGAGAGAGAGGCAGGCGGAAGAUCCUGCGGCUCUGUGCCAUGUGGAAAAAUACGGGGAGCUUCCAAGUGGAGGUGUUUGGUUACUGCUGGGUGUCAUACUGCUCCAGAUGUGACCUCUCCGGACCUCCUGGCAUCCCCACACUACCAGCCUCCCCAGCAGGUUGCUGCUCCUGCUGCUGGUGUGCUGAAAAUCAGGUAUUCAGAUAUCUGAAUGUGCGAAGCAUCUGGGAAUUUGUGAACAUGAAAGUAUUUUGCUUAACUAAGCCCCAGUUGAUUUACAGAGAGUUGGAUUUCAUCCAUGCACAUAUAUUGUGAAAAAAUAUAUACAGCAUUUCAGCAGUAAGAGUAACCUACAUUGAAAUAAGUCUCCGUGUAACAAAAUGAUCUCAAUUCAACAUUUCAGCUUGCAUCAAACUGCAUCUUGAUGCAGAUGAAACUGGCUCAGGUGUCAUCACAUGACCAAGGUGUGAAAUGUCAGUCAUGUGGAUACAGGUUACCAGGAAUACGGGGCAGGGUCAAACUGAGGUAAAGUUAUUUUAAAAUGGCAUUUUAAAG
rnacentral:lncRNA from 15 species